GGGUAUCUUGCUGGAGAUCCCUGUGUACUUGAGGCCUUCUGAAGCAGAAAUGAGGAGUUACAGCCUGGUGCCUCCUUCCACCUGCAUACCUCCCUGGAGGACUUCAUGUGAAGUUUGCUAGCUGCCUGCAGUCUCAACCUUAAGCCUGAAAGAAAAUCACCAUCUACUACCAACUGAACUUCAGACAUUUUGGAAGAUACCACAAAAACUUUACCAGAAAGCAAAAAGAAAAGUGCAAGAGAUCUCACCAACUCUGCCAGCUCCCCACUGGAGCACUGGAGGUCCAGGACCAUGCUCCAUGGCAGAGAGAGGAGAGCACCAAAGAAGAACCCACAGAAGCCAUAAUGAAGCUAUUAGCCUGCCCUUGGGUGGACCAGGUGGCCUUUAGACCACACCAGGAGAUGCAGAAUGAGCACUGGGGCAAUGUGCGAAGGUCCUCCAGUGGUGGGAUACACAGCCACUCACUGAAUGCUGCCAUCCACCCAGGAGGAAGUUCUUUAGGUCCCAAAUCUGGCUCCUGACUGUCAGCACUGGGACUGGGUGCUUUGAAAUGAGACUCAAAGGGAAACAGGGUGUAUCUUCAUGUCAUCAGUUUGUACAGGGAAGCCAAUGAUUUGUAGUGGGUACCACAUGCUGUUGCACUGGAGUUACUCUCUAAUUACACAACACUGGCACUUUCCGAUACUUGCAGUAAUCAUUAAAUCUAUAAUCACCACAUUUCCUACAUGUUUGAGAAUCUCUCCCCUGUUAAUACAAUAUAAUUAAACCAGCCCCUGUUUUAACAGUAUCUCCAUUAAAAAAGAACACCGAAGAGACCAGAAUAGGUGAAGAGAGGUUAAUAAUAGGUCAUGUGGUUAAUCUUCCAGUUACAAGGGCAAACACUAAUUACAGGACUGGGAAGGAAAAGGGCAGCCUGAUUGCAGUGUGAUUAUGGUGACCUUGUUAAGAGUGAUCCAAGCCAUGGUGAGGCCUCAAUAAAUAAAUAAAGAUAAUACAUCCCUUAGCAUGUCCCUGUGGAUGUCAGAUGAAUGCUGAGAGUGGGCCAUGCUAUUCUCCAGCCCCGUCUCAACACAGCGGGAUUGCUGGCUUCUCGCUCUGCUCACUGAGAAAAACAAAAGCACCAGCUCCUGAUAACAGAUAUAUCAUUUUGGCUUCUAAUGGGCCCCACAGUACAGUGUGUUACAAAUUAAAGUGAACUUCAGCACGCUCAUGCAUCAGAGGUGGAGUCGAGCACUGCGACGCACCAUGCUGCCAAUGGUGCUCAGGGAAUUCCCAGGCAGCUGAAGAACUGUUACUUACCAUUGAGAUGGAAAAAUGAUAAAACCUCAAGCUUCUCCUGCACUUUUUAUAACCCCAAGUAUAAACCGUGCAGCCCAGGAAAAUGUAUCCCGCAGAUUAUAACAGUUUAAUUAUCUCAGGAGAGAACUUGAUGUCUGUGUUGCAAACUGGUCCAUGGAGAAAUUACUAGACUCCCAAAUUUAAUUAGGGCAGGACUCAGACAGGGAACACAGCGAGGUUAACACAGAUGUCUGCAUGUCCCAUCAUUCUCACAUCCUGUAAUAAACAGGCAUUUGGGGAACUAUAUAAGUCAGUACUGGAAGCAAACAGUCCUGUAUUGCAGACGCGAGGCUGGUGUCUGCUAAACACCCAUAAAACUGCUCGGGUCAUGGGUAUGGAAAGUCUGCUGUUACUGCUGAUGAUUUUGUAUGUUAAUUGAGGACAGGGGCGGUUUGAAAAGCAGUGGCUGCAGACACAUCAGGGCUAUGCAGAACUCCUCAGUCUGGCAGCCUGUCGUGAGCUGGAUGAGAGCAAUGCCUGGAGCUGUUUAAGCCUUCCCCACUUCUGUUUUUAAGACAUCUGCACAAAUGCUUUUUUUUUUUUUUUUUUAACCUCGGAUUUAUUCUUUAUUAUUAAAUCUGCAUUUACCGAGAUCUUUUUCUUCCCUCCCCCACAAAGAAGGAAAAAUGCGAUGGUAACUGCCACAAACACAAGGAAGCCAUCCCUCUGGGGUCAGCAAUACCUACAAAGAAGCUCCUGGUUGUGUUGCACAGAGCCCUGCCAUUGGGUGCCCAGCAGAUAAUGGGGCAGUGCAGCUGUGCAAUGCAAGUUUGUGAGCUUGCUGUGCUGGGGCCUGUGGAAACCCCUGGCUGAAGUUCCCAGAAAUAGGCAGAGUGUAGGAAGAGCACUUGAACCCCAAAGGCGUGAAGGAAAUCUGUGACAGCUGUCUGUGCGUGUAUGCAAAAACACAGAAAGCAAUUAAACCUUGACAUUUUUUUCCUCUAGAUUCUACUCAUGAGGAUUUCCCAUUUCAUAUUAGAAUAAAUUCCAAUUAAUUAGCUCCAUCCUGCCCAGCCCGAAUUCUGCAACAUGGGUGCUGAUAAAAAGCAAUUCCACAGUGAUCACAGAUACCCCAAAUACAUCUGCAGGGCAAUCCCUCUAACUCCUGUAGUACCUUCUGUAGUGACAGUCACCCACCUUUGAAGUGUCGAAUGGAAUGAUAGAGAAGGCAAAACCAAAUGCUUAAAGGUGGUAAUUUUCUGUUAGAGACAUUUCUUCCUGCUGCCAAGCACCUCAGGAUGGAACAUCCCAGGGGCAGAUCUCAUUCUGCCAGAGAAAGGAUCAGAGCUUGGGGAUUUUCCAUGCAUGUAUUUCCAGCCAGUUCCCCCAUCACGAUGUGAGCAGCAUCUGAGUUUGGUCCCUAAAACCCUAAAUAUUCUCAGAAGCUAGAGAGGGACUGUGACAGAGCGAUGCAGAAGUGCUGGAGCCCCCAGAGUCCCUGUGUUCUUAGUCCCUGGCAUGUUGCAGUCCUGCAUAACUUCUGAGCUCAUUCACCCCUGUAGCACCAUGACAAUGGAAGUGCCCAGCAGGCUCCCAGGAGCCAGACAUCUGCAGAGGACUGCUGUCACCUUGGAUGAAUUUCACUCUUCCUUCAAAGCUGCAGUUCACAUUUUACAAUUCUUGACAAAACUCAUUUUUCAAUGAUGGAUAAACUCUACUCAAAUCUGAGGGCUCAAAUACACCAUUCUGGACCUCAUCAGCUUUGAAUUACCUCUGAUUUGAGAACUGACGUGAUUGUAUCUAAUAGAACAUAACUGUUUACUUCUUGCUAUAAAUCAAGGAUUUUGUCAGGGUUGCUAAGGGAUACUAUUCAUUCUCUUUUUUUUCCAUUAUUAUUUGAAGGCUGAAUAGUAAAUAGUUCUCCCUGGAAGCAACUUAAUCUGUGAUUUUGCUUUGUAGAAGAUGGCGUUCUUAAUUCAGCUCUUACCACUGCUCAGUCACUCUGUUGCUCCUCUGAGUUUAAGCAUGACAAAAGGAAGGACAAAGGCUAUGAACUAACAGCAUUUCACUCUAGCAGGAAAAGAACACACUAUUUAAAACGUAUUUUGAGAAAAAGAUAAAUAGAGAAUUAUUCUGGGUAAUAAGAGAUGCACUUGAUCACUAUGCCUUCUGAGCAUGACUGCUAUUUCUAGUUGCAACAUCUUUAAUGAAAGCCUCAGAUGGUACCACUGGGUUUACCAAAGGAUCUGGUGUAUUAAAACAAUUGUGAGCCUCAGCAAGACUAUAAAAGAAAUGGUAAGUCUAAGCAAGCUGUGAUGUGCUAACUAAACAGCCACAAAACAUAAAGUAUGAUUUUGAAGUUCUUUUGGUAAGCAGAAAUACUUAUUCCCCUCACUCUACAGAGUAAAUAGUGUGAUGCUUUCAAUCCUUUAUCUGCUCACUCCAAGAAUGUUGGAAGCCUGACCUCAGACACUUCGCAAGUGGAUGCUGUGGCAUGAUCAAAUAUUUGGCUUUGGAGGAAUGUUGUCGAGCAUUUGAAUGCCUGCAAUAUUUUGUCUGAUCCAGAAGCCCAAGUAGUUCAGAACAGUCACUACUACUUCCAGAAGGCCUACUUACUGUUGUCAUUGCAUCCCUCUCUAGUACUGCUUGUGCGUGACAACUAGUGCCUUCCUGAAGUUCACCUUCAUCCACCUCAUUGUAACCCCAGGCUAUGUACCUCCCUCAAAGCUCUACAGACUGGUGUCUGGCUGCUCUUACUGCUUACUUACUUGUCCUUCUGCUAGAUAUAGAAAAGCCCACAUGAUCUGUAGGAGGCUCUGAGAGUGAGAAAGAGGAGACACAGAAGAUGCAGGGGAUUAGGGCUGGAGAUGCAAAGUUUGAGUUUGUGAUAAUUGUAACCAUUCAGAAGAAGGAUGAAAGAUUAUCUGAUUUACCCAUUUUGAGAUAGUGGAAGAAAGGGAAUCUGGCAAAAGGGGAAAAAAUGACUUAAAUCACCUGCAAUAUUGU